AGAAUUGGGCUUUCGAUUUUGUGAGUUUCCGGCCCGAUGAAAAGGGAGUGUCUCUAACCUAAUACAGUAGCAGUCGAGAAACGAAGAAGGUCGUCUCUCCGCUUCCUGCGGCGGCUGGCCGAUGCCAUUUGCGCUUCUUCACACCAUUUGAAACGUUCUGCACAAAGACUUCGUGAUAUUAAUCACAUUGGUUCGCUCUUCCACUACGCUGUCUUCAAUGCUUUGCUUUGAUAUGAUAGGCAGUGAUUUCUGAAUAAAUAUGUGUGAAUCAUAUAUGUGUUAAGUUAAAUACAUCUGAGGUGAGAGAGAAGGGAAAAGUUAGGUUAAAGAUUCGCGGAGCGGAGCGGCGAAGUAUCUGGUCAUGAGGUUUCCUUGCCUCUGUUGACUCCUACAUGAACUUGCAGCUUGGAAACACUGAAGAAUACAUUGAUGGACAGUUGACAGGGAACCUUCGAGAGAUUUUGAUCAGGUACAUGCAUCUGCGGAUUUACAGACUGAUAUAACAUUGUUGAUUAUUUCACGGAAAUAUGGAAUAAGUAACCUUGUGGAAGGUCAACAAAUUGAGAGGCCAAUGGGGCUCUAAGUAUCAGCGAGGAAUCUUCUUAUCCAGAGAAGAAUCUUUAUUUAUUUAUGAAUAA